GUGGGCGUGCUGGAAUGGUUAUCGGGCAUGACUAGAAAUAAUGUGGGCUUUGCCCGAGCAGGUUCGAAUCUUGCUGCUCAUG
rfam:Ipomoea nil DNA, scaffold: scaffold2283, cultivar: Tokyo-kokei standard.